UAUGGUCAUAUCACCCUGAAUAGCCCUAAUUUUGGAAGCUAAGCAGGGUCAGGCGUGAUUAGUACCUGGAUGGGAAACUACCUGCUGGGAAUACAACGUGUGACCACCU
ensembl:rRNA 5S_rRNA 5S ribosomal RNA